CACCCGUCCCUGACAUAUCAGGUAGUGGUACACCACCACCAGCACCUCCCCCGAAAACUACAGUUUCAUCAUCCCCAAAAAAAGAAGAGCCUGGAGAAGCUGCUCCGGUGCCUGGGGAGCUGGGUAAGGGGACACCUCCAGUUCCAAAGCUACCGCUGCCUCUACCAGGGUCCGGCAGAGGAACUCCACCUCCUCCGGCUCCAAAGCUACCGCUACCUCUACCAGGGUCCGGCAGGGGAACUCCACCUCCUCCGGCUCCAAAGCUACCGCUACCUCUACCUCUACCAGGGUCCGGCAGAGGAACUCCACCUCCUCCGGCUCCAAAGCUACCGCUACCUCUACCUCUACCAGGGU